rnacentral:rRNA from 1 species
AAGCGGUGGAGCAUUGUGGUUUAAUUCGAAGCAACGCGAAGAACCUUACCAGGUCUUGACAUCCGAUGCUAUUUCUAGAGAUAGAAAGUUACUUCGGUACAUCGGUGACAGGUGGUGCAUGGUUGUCGUCAGCUCGUGUCGUGAGAUGUUGGGUUAAGUCCCGCAACGAGCGCAACCCUUAUCUUUAAUUGCCACCAUUCAGUUGGGCACUUUAAGAGACUGCCGGUGUUAAACCGGAGGAAGGUGGGAUGACGUCAAGUCCUCAUGGCCUUUAUGCUUAGGGCUACACACGUGCUACAAUGGGUAGUACAAAGAGAAGCCAACUCGCGAGAGUGAGCAAAUCUCAAAAAGCUAUCCUAAGUUCGGAUUGAAGUCUGCAACUCGACUUCAUGAAGCUGGAAUCGCUAGUAAUCGCGGAUCAGCAUGCCGCGGUGAAUACGUUCCCGGGCCUU